rnacentral:rRNA from 1 species
AUGCAAGUCGAACGAUUACUGUUGGGUAGCAAUAUUCGGCAGUGAGAGUGGCGCAAGGGUGCGUAACACGUGGGUAAUUUGCCGUGAAGUCUGGGAUAACUUGCUGAAAGGCGAGCUAAUACCGGAUGUGAUUUCUGGAAGGCAUCUUCUAGAACUUAAAGUCGGGGACCGCAAGGCCUGACGCUUCUCGAUAAGCCCGCGGCCUAUCAGCUAGUUGGUGAGGUAACGGCUCACCAAGGCUAAGACGGGUAGCUGGUCUGAGAGGACGACCAGCCACACUGGAACUGAGACACGGUCCAGACACCUACGGGUGGCAGCAGUCGAGAAUUUUUCUCAAUGGGGGAAACCCUGAAGGAGCGACGCCGCGUGGGGGAUGAAUGGCUUCGGCCCGUAAACCCCUGUCAUUUGCGAUCAAACCUCACGACUUAACACGUCGUGAGCUGAUAGUAGCGGAAGAGGAAGGGACGGCUAACUCUGUGCCAGCAGCCGCGGUAAUACAGAGGUCCCAAGCGUUGUUCGGAUUCACUGGGCGUAAAGGGUGCGUAGGCGGUCGGGUAAGUCUGACGUGAAAUCUUCAAGCUCAACUUGGAAACUGCGUCGGAUACUAUUCGGCUAGAGGAAUGGAGGGGAGACUGGAAUACUUGGUGUAGCAGUGAAAUGCGUAGAUAUCAUGUGGAACACCAGUGGCGAAGGCGAGUCUCUGGACAUUUCCUGACGCUGAGGCACGAAAGCCA